AAAAAAAAAAAAGAAUGUCAUUUGCCACAUCAGCUCUUAGAUGAUGUGACCAGUAUUGCCAUCCAUGAUAUGGAAACAAAUUUUGACUCAUUUUUCAAGAUCAACAAAAUUUUAUUCAAGAAAUUCAUAAGAAAUUUGGAGGGAUCAAUAGCAAAAAUAAGUAAAUUUCAGGAGUUAAAAUAAGGAUUAUUACCUUAUAAUUACAAUUAUAACUAAUUGGAGGUUACAUGCAAAUUGCCAAAAUUAUAAAAUAGCAACAAAUAUCUCAGCAUCUUUUGAAGAAGAGCAGGUAAAAUAAGGUUUGCAAAGAUUAAGAUAUUUAACGACAUUUAAGAGGUAUUUAACCUCUGGUAAAGUGAUUAUAAUGCCCAGUUGGAUCUUAUAUAGUAUUUUACUGUAUUCAUA
rnacentral:misc_RNA from 1 species